rnacentral:lncRNA from 1 species
GGGCUGAGGGUGUGGUCAGAGUGGCCGGGUCAGCUCAGGUUCGAAGGGCGUGGCUCUGGGUGCGGGGCGUGGCCAGGACUUGCAAACUGACUCGAGGAGAUCCUUAGUUCCAGAGCCACAACUGACCUGCACCUGACAGUUCUUGGGGACCUGGAGACCGUUGACCAGGCUGAGGGCUGACACAGAGCACCUCGGAAUGCCCUGUUCCAGGGUCAUGUGGCCACCGCUGCUGCUGCUGUUUCUGCUGCUUCCUGCUGCCCAUGGCGCCCCCCACCCGGCUGCGGACCUCCAGGAAAACUUUCCAAGCGUACUCGAAGAAAUCCAAACUGAAGGAGACAGAGGCAUGUGGAGAGAAGACAACCCGUUCGCUGGCUCCCGCUGUCCUCCUGGCUCAUGAGGUGGCUUCUAUGUGGUCCAGAAGCUGGGGGCGAGGACCUGUAGCCUCAUGAAGGCCUGCCAGGCACAGGAUCCGGAGCUCCACACUCCUCCCAAAAUCCCUGGUCUCCUCCGGGGGCCCUUCAGCUGCUGAAGGGGCUGGGGUGGACACCAUUAUCCUAGCAGGGGACAUAUGUGGAACUCACCAGACCCACCUGCAGCACCAUUUCAAAAUAAAAGUAAAAUUUCAAGCUU